UUUGAAAGUUCUAAGGUUACUAAAACUGUAAAAUUAACAAAAAAAACAAAAGUGUGAAGAUUUUAUUUUUAGAAAAAUAUAAGAUGUCAUGCUAUCAAAUUAACAGACAUGAAGAAGAAGAAAUAUGUAUAAUUGGAAUUUUAAAAACAGUGAACACGAAUUAUUAUAGUAUAACAUUUUCUAGAUGACAAAAAGAUCAAAUCGGAUAAGAUGUCAUAUAUAUAUAUAUAUAUAUAUAUAUAUAUAUAUAUAUAUGUAUCGAUACAUAAUUAAAAUUCAAAAUCAUGUCGAAAAUAUGUAAUUAGACAAGGACUGCUCACUGUUUUUAAAAUUCAUUAUAUAUACAUAUAAUAUAUAUAUAUUUAUAUAAGUUUAUAGCAUAACAUUUUAUGCUUUUCAAAAAAAAAAAUCAUUAUUCAUUUUUGAUUAUUUAGUUUUUUUGUUUAUAAAUAUAAUUUUAAUAACUUUUAUUUUAUUUUUAUUUAGUAUAUUAAUUGAAAAUAAAUUUUCAAAACACUUUUUAAAAAAUUACAGCCAUCAUUUUUUAUUUAUCUCGCCAAAUCAUCACUUCGUGACACAUCAUUCUUUUAUGUCAUCAGAUUUUGGCAGAAAAAGAAAUUCAGGGUUUAAUAUGUUCAAUUUUCUAUUUGAAUAGCUAGAAAUGUAAAAAUAGUUCAAAUUAAUUUUAAAGUGCUUGUAAGCUUUAGCAUGAAAAGAUUAAAAUGUGAUUUUCCCAUUAGUUUAUCUUUUUAUGACAUUAUCAUUAUUCGGGGUUGGGAUCAAAUUUUCAAAUUUAUUUCUUUCGUUUUAUUCGAGUUUGACAUUCUUUUGAGUCAGGUUCCGUGAAAAUAAAUUAUGAUUCUGUUUAAAAUCUGUCUGUAUCCAAACUCAUUUCGAAUUAAUAAUAUUCCAGUCUUAUAUUUUCAAAUAUAGUUAUUUUUAACGAUUUUAGAUAUAGUUUUUAUUUAGGUUUUAAAUACUAUUUUUGAAUACUAAUUCAUGGUAAGAAUGUGAUGCAUAUGAUACUGGUAUAGAUGUUGUCUUGAUGCAAAAAAGGAAGCUCGUUACUUUCUUCAUUGAGAAAUUAGAUGAGCAAUCUUAAACUACCUAACGUGUGACAAUGAGCUUUAGUUCGAGCUUUGCAAAUUUGGCAACACUAUUUUUGGCGUAAAGAAUUUGUCAUCCAUACGGAUCAUGAGUCUUUCAAACAUUUUAAAGGCCAGCAAAAACUGAACAAAAGACAUGCUACGUGGGUUAAGUUCAUAGAAGCAUUUUCUUAUGUCAUCCGCUACCUAAAACAUUGUGGCUGAUACACUCUCUAGAAAGUAUGUUCUCUUUUUCAUUCUCAAUGUUGAGUUGUUGGGGCUUGAAGAAAAUCAAAACUUACUAUAAGAAUGAUAUGAAUUUCAAAGAGGUGUACCAAUCUUGUGAAAAGUUUGCUCAUAGCAAGUAUUAUAAGUUGGAUGACUAUCUUUUUUUGAAACCCGUUUGUGUGUACCUAACAGAUCCUUGAAAGAAUUGUUGUCAGGAAAACCUAUGGAGAAGGUCUCAUGUGUCAUUUUUGAUGUGAUCAAGACGUUGGAAGCUUUCAUGGAAUAUUUUUCUUUUGGAUGUAUAUGAGAAAAUAUGUGGAAAGAAUUUGUGGGAGAUGCACUACUUGCAAACUUGCCUUAGGUCAAUCACAACGUAAGUACCAUUCUCUGUCUAUACCUUCUGAACCUUGGAUUGGUAUGUCGAUGGAUUUUGUGUUAGGAUUAUCUAGAACUAAGAAAAAAAGAGAUUCAAUCUUUGUUGUGGUCAAUAUGUAUUCGAAAAUGGCUUAAUUCAUUGUUUGUCAUAGAACGGAUGAUGACUUAAAUUGUUCUUUAGAAAAAUUGUACGUUUGCAUAGCAUUUUUAGGGCAAUUGGUUUUUAUAAAGACACCAAAUUUCAUGUUUAAAAAAGUGUUCAAAAAAAGACACCAAAUUUCGAAGUCAUUUUUGGAGAAUAGUUUGAUCAAAAUAGAAUUAUAUAAAGUAGAAUUAUAUAAGAGUUCUUUUUAGAAAUCAGAAUAUACAUAUAUAUAUAUAUAUAUAUAUAUAUAUAUAUGUGUGUGUGUGUGUGUGUGUUAUAAAAUAUAUUUAAUAUUUAAGAGAUCAAGAACUAUCAGUGGUAAGAAUGUGAUGCAUAUGAUAUUGGUAUAGAUGUUGUCUUGAUGCAAAAAAGGAAGCUCGUUACUUUCUUCACUGAGAAAUUAGGUGAGCAAUCUUAAACUACCUAACGCGUGACAAUGAGUUGUAUGCUUUGGUUCGAGUUUUGUAAAUUUGACAAUUCUAUUUUUGGCAUAAAGAAUUUGUCAUCUACAAGGAUCAUGAGUCUUUCAAACAUUUUAAAGGCCAGUAAAAGCUAAACAAAAGACAUGCUCGGUGGGUUAAGCUCAUAGAAGCAUUUUUCUUAUGUCAUCAGCUACCAAAAACAUUGGGUGAUGAUUAUCUGUGAAUUUAUCUCCGCCUGAAUCAUCUUCAUCUAAGGUAAAAGUGUCAAAGCUUCACAAGAGAAAGCAUCAGAUCACUACGUUAUUCAUGGACAUGAAGCACAAGGAGACAGAGCUAGCAUAGAGAUGUUGAAAAGGAUUGCUCACUAAAGCUGACACACAAACUAAAUACGGAUGGUGACUUGCUCUUGUUUCUCUCAAUCUUGUGACAUUGGCAACUGAUUUUCUAAAACUCAUUUCCUUAUAUGAAUGAAUCUACUCUCAGCAGAAUGCUUUGAUUGUCUCACAAGCUGUUUAUAAGGGCUUUAUCGAUUUGUAAAUAAUUCUCAGAUUUAAUCCAGAGUCUGUCUUGAAUACAAACGAUAUAUUCACUACUGUUUU